rnacentral:rRNA from 1 species
GACGAACGCUGGCGGCGUGCUUAACACAUGCAAGUCGAACGAGGUCCAACCGGUGGCAACACCGGAGACGACCUAGUGGCGAACGGGUGAGUAACACGUGAGGAACCUGCCCCGAAGUCUGGGAUAACCCCCCGAAAGGGGAGCUAAUACCGGAUGCCCCCAUCUGAUCGCAUGUUCGGAUGAGGAAAGGAUUCUGCUUCGGGAGGGCCUCGCGGCCUAUCAGCUUGUUGGUGAGGUAACGGCUUACCAAGGCGACGACGGGUAGCUGGUCUGAGAGGACGAUCAGCCACACUGGGACUGAGACACGGCCCAGACUCCUACGGGAGGCAGCAGUGGGGAAUCUUGCGCAAUGGGCGAAAGCCUGACGCAGCAACGCCGCGUGCGGGAUGACGGCCUUCGGGUUGUAAACCGCUUUCAGUGGGGACGAAAUCAGACGGUACCCACAGAAGAAGCCCCGGCCAACUACGUGCCAGCAGCCGCGGUAAUAC